GACGAGUCUGACGAACGUUAUUCGGAAUUACUGGGCUUAAAGGGUGCGUAGGCGGGUCUUUAAGUCAGGGGUGAAAUCCUGGAGCUCAACUCCAGAACUGCCUUUGAUACUGAAGAUCUUGAGUUCGGGAGAGGUGAGUGGAACUGCGAGUGUAGAGGUGAAAUUCGUAGAUAUUCGCAAGAACACCGGUGGCGAAGGCGGCCACCUGGACGGUAACUGACGCUGAGACGCGAAAGCGUGGGGAGCAAACAGG
rnacentral:rRNA from 1 species